AUCCCAGGAAUCAAGGGGUUAGCACACGAUGAGCGCUUGACAGCGCUGGGCCUCUACUCGCUGGAGUUUAGAAGAUUGAGAGGGGACCUCAUAGAAACUUACAGAAUAAUGAAAGGUACAGAUAGAGUGGA